GUGAACGCUGGCGGUAGGUCUAACACAUGCAAGUCGAACGGCAGCACAGUAAGCGCUUGCUCUUACGGGUGGCGAGUGGCGGACGGGUGAGGAAUACAUCGGAAUCUACUUUUUCGUGGGGGAUAACGUAGGGAAACUUACGCUAAUACCGCAUACGACCUACGGGUGAAAGCAGGGGAUCUUCGGACCUUGCGCGAUUGAAUGAGCCGAUGUCGGAUUAGCUAGUUGGCGGGGUAAAGGCCCACCAAGGCGACGAUCCGUAGCUGGUCUGAGAGGAUGAUCAGCCACACUGGAACUGAGACACGGUCCAGACUCCUACGGGAGGCAGCAGUGGGGAAUAUUGGACAAUGGGCGCAAGCCUGAUCCAGCCAUACCGCGUGGGUGAAGAAGGCCUUCGGGUUGUAAAGCCCUUUUGUUGGGAAAGAAAAGCAGCAGGUUAAUACCCCGCUGUUCUGACGGUACCCAAAGAAUAAGCACCGGCUAACUUCGUG
rnacentral:rRNA from 1 species